GUUGAUGAAAAGAAUAUGCCGUAGACAGAAGGUGCGGUGCUUGUGAGAGUAACGCUUAAUACCCCUCCGAGGCGUGUAAUGUACGAAUGAGGAAACGCUGUUUCCUUUGACGAUAUAGCAUUAUGCCCUCGUGAGUCUGCGAGGGCAUUCUUCAUUUUCUAG
rfam:Brevibacillus brevis NBRC 100599 DNA, complete genome.